rnacentral:rRNA from 1 species
UGGAGAGUUUGAUCCUGGCUCAGGACGAGACGCUGGCGGCGUGCUUAACACAUGCAAGUCGAGCGGAAAGGCCCCUUCGGGGGUACUCGAGCGGCGAACGGGUGAGUAACACGUGAGCAACCUGCCCCUGACUCUGGAAUAAGCCUGGGAAACCGGGUCUAAUACCGGAUAUGACUACUGCCCGCAUGGGUUGGUGGUGGAAAGUUUUUCGGUUGGGGAUGGGCUCGCGGCCUAUCAGCUUGUUGGUGGGGUGAUGGCCUACCAAGGCGACGACGGGUAACCGGCCUGAGAGGGCGACCGGUCACACUGGGACUGAGACACGGCCCAGACUCCUACGGGAGGCAGCAGUGGGGAAUAUUGCGCAAUGGGCGGAAGCCUGACGCAGCGACGCCGCGUGGGGGAUGACGGCCUUCGGGUUGUAAACCUCUUUCAGCACCGACGAAGCCUUUCGGGGUGACGGUAGGUGCAUGAAGAAGCCCGCUAACUACGUGCCAGCAGCCGCGGUA